rnacentral:misc_RNA from 1 species
UCCCAACCCAUGUGAACCUUACCAUUCGUUGCCUCGGCGGACGCCUCCCUCGCGGGGCGGCCGCCAGAGGACCCAAACCCUCUGAAUUCGUUUCGCGGUAUCUUCUGAGUAACACAAGCAAAAUAAAAUCAAAACUUUCAACAACGGAUCUCUUGGCUCUGGCAUCGAUGAAGAACGCAGCGAAAUGCGAUAAGUAAUGUGAAUUGCAGAAUUCAGUGAAUCAUCGAAUCUUUGAACGCACAUUGCGCCCGCCAGUAUUCUGGCGGGCAUGCCUGUCCGAGCGUCAUUUCAACCCUCGAGCCCCUCCCCGGGGGGGCUUGGUGUUGGGGAUCGGCCCGCCCACGGCGGCGCGCCGGCCCCGAAAUCUAGUGGCGGUCUCGCUGUAGCCUCCUCUGCGUAGUAGCACACCUCGCACCGGGACGCAGCGCGGCCACGCCGUUAAACCCCCCACUUUUGAAGGUUGACCUCGGAUCAGGUAGGAAUACCCGCUGAACUUAAGCAUAUCAAUAAGCGGAGGAA